GCUUGCUUCACCAGUCCACAUACUGAAAUUAGAAUGAUAUGUAGAAGAUCAGCAUGGUCCCUGUGCAUAGAUAACAUGAAAACUCAUUAAGUAUUAUAUAUAUUU
ensembl:snRNA U6 U6 spliceosomal RNA